UGCUCUCUCUCUCUCUCUCUCUCUCCCCAACCUGCAGUUACAGUAGAUCCACAGUAGGCAACAAAAAACGCAGUAGGAUAGGCAUAGUUUAGCACCCUUGGAAUCCAAAACAAAGAUCAUAGGAGCAUGAUUGGCCUCGGGUGCACCAGUGGAAUUUGUGCUUCGAUCCACUGGCCAAGGGAAUUAAAGGAGCAUGGCAGGGAACAGUAAGGUGCUGUGGUGGCAAUACAGGAGGGAUGAGAUGAGUUGGGGAGGGAGAGAGAUUAUACCUACCUUGUAAGCACCAGCUUAUUGCCUGUCAAGCUUCCCAAUUAAGUGAUACCUUUUCCCCUGCGAGUUUACCGAACCAUCGCCCCUCCGUUCUUUCCCGUCUCUUUCUCCUAAUGCCCAUCGCUGCCCGCAAAGCCAUCCCAGCACGCCCGGCAGUGAGUGGUAGGCGGCCGAAGAAUUCCGCGGGGAGCGUCGCGUGCGUCCAAGAAAGAGGAGAUCGAGGCAUGAAGGACCUGGCGUCGUGCUUCAGCGAGCACGCGGUGCGGAUCUCUGACGUCGCCUGCUCAGGCGGCGCCAAUGCCGCGACGGAGGCCGGGGCAGCCGGGGGAGGGAAGGCGGCGGUGAGCGCAGUCACGAGCGUGUACCGGUCGCGGCUCUCGGCGUCAGGGAAGGACCUGCUCAUCGACGUGACGUGGUCGCGGUCGCCCGACGGGCCAGCGCUCUCCGUGGCCGUCCACGAGGCCGCCUCGCGCCACCGCGCCGGCGCCGCUGCGCCGCGGCACCUGCACAAGAAGAAGGGGAGCGGCACGUUCACGGCGGGCAGCUGCGUGGUGGGUGUGUUCUGGGACUUCGCCGCGGCGCGGUACCACGGCGCCGGGCCCGAGCCCGUCUCCGGGUUCUACGUCGCCGUCAUCGCCGACGCCGAGUUCGUCCUCCUUCUGGGCGACAUGAGCCGUGGGUACGUGGAGCGGCUGCACGGCGGGAUACCGAUCGCCGGGUCCCGGAUUGCGCGGCGGCGGGAGCGGUUUGUGGGGUGCGGGUACUGGUCCACGAAAGCGCGUUUCUCAGAGUCCGGCUCGGAGCACGAGAUCGGCGUCGGGCUGGACGGCGACGCGGAGGGGUGGGUGAUCGUGGACGGCCGGAAGGUAGUGCAGCUCCGGCGGCUGCGGUGGAACUUCCGUGGCAGCCACACCAUCUUCCUGGACGCCGGCGCGCCGGUGGACAUGACGUGGGACCUGCACGGCUGGCUCUUCAACGCUGGCGGCGAGCCCCACACGUCUUCCCCCUGCGCCGUAUUCACGUUCCAGACGCGUGGCGCGUCCGAGACAAGGCUGUGGACGGAGGAUGACGAUUACACCGACGGCGAGGAGCAGGACAAGCCGGCUGGGGCCCGGCGGCAGAAGCCGGGAGGUGGAGGGGCGUCGGGGCAGGGGUUCUGCCUGCUGAUCCAAGGCUUCAAGGGCUUUUCCAAGAGCACUUAACCUGUACAUGACGUUAGAGGCCUCUAACUUCGUCCUCAUGCUGAUCCGUGUGAAAUUGAUUAGGAUCGACAUGCCGCUGCUUGACUCUUGUUGAUUAUCUGAUGCACGGGCGUCAGGGCUGUGAUUGUGAAUGGCAGGGAUAGGACCAGAGAGAGGUCGACGUACAGAAAGAGAUGCUUUCGUUUCAAUUUGCUGCGUCGCUGUGCUGAUUCCAUACAUGACUGUAACAGUGUUAUAUGCUAGUUAUCAGAAAUACAUCAAAGGGAGUUGCUAGAUUGUUAGGACAGCAGAGACCUGCAGAAUGUCAGUGUGUGUGGAGGUGUCGCGGCUCUCGGUGGACACAAGGAAUCCGAAUCAGC